CUUUUUUAUUUUCUCAUGCAUGCUAUACACCCUGGCUGUAAGAGCUGCAAGUGUCAUUUGUGUACUGAGAGAGCUGCUGAAAGAGAGGAGAGUCUGUUCUGCAAACUGCAUUUGCAGGGGGGUCACAGGGGAUGCUGGGAGCUCUUCCAGAGAGCAGCCCCAGCCGUGCUCCAUCAGUGAGGGCAUCUGUUGGUGAGCUCUGCUAAUUCAGUGUAGGUAAGGCAGUGUGGCUGCAUGUUUGUAAAAAGGAGCAAACAAGCAAAAAAAUGAAUGGGAGUUAAUAUCUGCUCGGGAGAUGUGGAUUGAUUUCCUGCUCAUCUGCCAAUCUUUAAUUAUUAUUAUGCAUCAUGGUAUUUAGUUUCCUAAACAAAAGGCAAUGAAAACCGAAUAGAGUAACAUCAGAUACCUCUAACUUGAUUUAGGUAUAACAGCUUUAUUAACUCAAAACUGAAACAUUCCAAGGGAGCUACUGCAGAUCCAAGGGCUCUGUGUUGACUUUGGGAAGCCCCCAUCAUGCUGCCCAGCCAGGGCCGGCUCCCAGUGGAAGCAGCAGUUUCCUCCUGCAGCAAAGUGCCCGGGGUUAAAGCUCCUUGGGUCUCAUUUGGGGCACUGGUUCUCUUCACUCUGAGAAGUGCCCGUACUUCAACAUCCAUUAGUGCCUUAUCUCUGCAAGCCUGCCCCGCUCCUGCUGCUCUGCUGGGCGCCGUAGGGAACGUCACACUGCAGCACUCGGUGGCCCUGUCAUUCCUUGUGCAUGUCAUGGCUUCAUCGUGUGUCUCGUUAGUUAAUUAGAUGACAGAAGAGCGAGUGGCACCAGUCAGAGCAGCGCUACAGAAUGUGUGAAAAUGUCAAAUGAGCUCAUGGAGUGAAGCCCAAGGUGCUGCCCGUUGUGAGAGCCCACGUUGGGCAGCUUGUUCCAGUCAGGAUGAGCACGGCCUGACACAUGGCCUGCACUGCCUGGUCUGUGCUGUCUGUGGACCCAGCUGUGCCCCAGUGGGACCUUAUUUUUCAAAGAACACGUUCCUCAGACAAAAAUCACUAUUCCUAUUGGAGAGGGAGGUGAAAGCCAGAGGUUAAUGGACUUGAAGGCUGGAAGAUGCUGUCCCAAUGGCUACACAGCCUCCUGCCCACACUCCCCCAUGUGUUUCAUGCACCGGGUGUGUAAGGGCAGCAAGUUUGCCCUGCAGUGACAGCCAGGCUUGGCUUCAUAAUGGUAAGAAGCACACCUGCAUUCGUAGCAAGCUUGCUCAGUUUUUAUUAUCAGCACCUUGCUUAUAGCCUGAGUUUAUCUCGCUGCACUUCCUAAUCCCUCCAUCUUUUCAUUCCUUUGGUUAUCAGCUUAGGCAACCUUCUGCAGCCAGAAAUGGUUCUCCUGAACAACGCACACGCGAUCCGAGAGAAGACACAGCCACGCCAUCCUGGCACUGGGUGGGCUCUGCUGAGGGGCUGCUGCAUCCUCACAGGGGUCACGUCCUCAUAUAGAGCCUCCCUGGGAAUGGGCUUUGGUCCCUUGCAUGUUUCUCCUCGGGAGCUUUGGGCACCAGCUCUGUCCUCCUGCAGCCUGGGGCAGGGUGUACACCCACAGGGGAUGCAGGGCAAUGUAUGAAGGCAGGAAAAAGCUCCCAGUGCAACACGCCUUCUGCAAUUUGCUUUUCUGCUCAUGCUACAAUAUUGAUUUCAAAACCCCUCUCCUGCUUAUUUAGUUCUGAAGUGGAGCAGCGCGCCGAUGGGCUGGGAGCAGCUCCCGAGUCGAGGGAGUGUAUCGUACAUGGCUAAUUGUAUGGUCUGCACUGCCUUUUAUCUUAGCUUGCAAUUCAUUUAGCAGCAGAUCUCUCUGUUCGUCAGUUUUGAUUCCUGGGGUACCAGAUAAUUUCAUUUGCAGAUGGAUUUUAUGCUUUCUGAUACUUCAGUAACCCCAUUUGGUAUAAGCACAGCUCUUCAUUUCCCUGCGAGGACGCGGACAACGAGCAGGAGCUGAGCACAAAAACAGCCAUUUAUUUAACCAGCGAGUACAAUUUCCCGUGCCCCGUUUCUCACCAACCUCACCAGCCUCUGUGCAGGUGCCACAUGCAGGGAUGAGCUGCUCUGCAGAGGGACUCACGUGUUGCUGACUGCAGUGCUACGGGCUUCGGUGUAUGGGAUGCAUUGGACCUCCUGUUGCUGCAGUGACGUGAGCCUUCCAGCCUCCCUCAGCAAUCAGCAAAAUGCAGUUUCCGUGGGAUCAGAGAGCGAGAAAAGCUUCAUCCCAAAUAGCUCCCGAUUACCAUUUACACUCCUUACUUCUUGUCCUCUCGGAUCGAUACUGCUCUUAAGUACUGCAAAUUGGAGGAGAGCCAUCAAAAUGCUCUAUUUUCACAACAGACGUACGAUGAGAUCACCGGCUCCGAGCCACCAACCCCUUUAUGUCAACGAUUUCUCCAAAGGAACUUUCCGUGUCAUUUCCGAUACCACUUUCAAAGACAAAUAGCAGGAAGUGCUCUUUGAAUCCCAACGUGACUUCUCACGCUGGAACACGUUGGUUAAUUUGGACGGCAGCAGUAAAAUGUGUUGAAAACGAUGGAAAUACCAUAAACCAGCACAGAAAGUGAGCCCAUUUCAAUCCUCCAGAAGAGACCAGCAUGUUUUGUUUGUUAUAUUCUUCAUAUAUCCACAAGUUAAUGAAGAGUGGGUUUUUUUUCCUUUCAUUUUUUUCUCUUCAUCAGUCAACAUGGGUUGGUUUUCCUCUCUCUAUUUUUUUUUCUUUAUUGAGGGGAAGGAACUGCGCAGAGGAAAGGGAAUCAAAGGGAAAGCUCUUGGAAGGCCAUGAGAGCCUUGAAAGGAGAGCAGCCUCCUGCACACUGGGCAAGGAGGUGGCAGCCUGCAGGUUGGUGACAGCAGUGUUUCGGGCCCCGCCAUCCCCGUGAGCACCCCCAGUGUCAGAUGUCCAAGCCAUGGGGCACAGCAGAGCAGCAGAAGAGCUGAGUGGAGAAGGGUGUUGGAGCGGCUGCAUUGCAAAAUGGCUCAUUUUCCUUUGAGAUUAAUUGGCUGGAUUCUGACGAAACCUGUUAUUUAACUGAACACCGCCGCCUGCUUAAUUGAGUUCUGUGCAAAGCGCUCCCAGAAACUGGAAGCCUUCCCCCCUCCUCCAGCGCCUGUGUUCAUCUCCAUCCAGGGAAAUUCAUGAGAAUUUGUUAAAAAAAAACACACAAAAAACAUUGGCAACUCAGAGCCAAAGGCAACAGGCCUCUCAACAUGUCCAAAUACAAACUGUUCUAAUGAAUGUCUGCUGUCAAAUGGCCAGGACAAAAAAAAAAAGGAGAAACAGGACAGCAAACGGAGCUACAACUUCAGCAGUCACCUGCUGAAGGAUCCUGUGAAUCAAAGAGGAGUAACCGCCCACCCCUGCUCUGCCUACAGUGAUUCAAGGCAGACAGCAUCAGCUUGAUGCCCCGGGUCUUACAUUUUGUAAUGGAAAGUUAGCUGGAGAGAGAGUGCACCACUUGGUCCUGGAUGGUGGUGUGCGGGCAACGCCUCCAUCAGCAGCAGGAAGAGGAAUGGGAACCAGCCCAUCCUUGGGGUCUCCUGCACCACAGCACAGCCUGGGUCUUCAUACAGCAGAGAACAGCCUGCUAUGUACGUUCAGUGCAUAUUCCCCAUGCAUUUGGCUCGCAGGCUCUGCCCCAGUGGCUCUGGGUCCUCUGCCACCGUGCCAUGGGGCUGUGCAGCACUCAGAGCAACCACAUCAAUAUUCAUCUCUUUGUAAAGAUGACCUGCCCCUGCUGCUCAGAGUCACUUCAGAUUAUUCGUAUCGAUCCAGCACUGUUAAUGAUUAAAUACAAUGUUCUUCAAAGCUUGCAUUUAACAAGAAAGCUUGAUUGGAUUUACUGUUUUGAGGUUGGGUGUGUUGUUUUCCGUUAUUUUGCUUCCCCCCUUGUCUUUGUGGAACAUCGUGUCAUUUUGCAAAUGAAGAAUUACCCUCUUGCCUUUUAUUAAAAGCUUCCUUCUAAAGGAUUCACAUUGCGUUGCUGAAUCAGAUGGAUGCUGUGUUGCAACACCCACUGCCACCUCAGUCCACCCCCCGCCAGCCACCCGCAGUGCAGGGACAUCGGGUGUAGGGGUACCAGCUCUGGGUGCUGCCACCCUACAACAAGUCCAUGCCCACACCCCUCCGGGCUCAGCAAAUCAGCAGUGCUGGGGUCAGCGGUACCCAAAGCCCUCUGUAUUUUUCAGGAUCGUUAGAAAAGAGACGUUGACAUUUGUGUCCCAGCUUUUGUCAGCUGGGACAAACAACCACAACAUCUGAUGCCAGUCCUGGAGAACGUUCCAUGCCUUUAAAGAGAAAAUCAAAAGACAAAAGCACCAAAAGAAGUUUAGCUGAUGUUCUCCAUUUGCAACGCUGAGAGGGCAACCUGAAAACCCCAGCACAACCUACAGUGCAGUUUUACCUUUGUGUUUCCACCGUCCAUCCAAAUGCCAUCCUCCAUUGGGAAUGCACGGAAUUGGAUCUGAAGGAGGAAUAAGCUCCAUGCACCAUGAUGCAAUUGCUGCACACCCCUGGGGAAGUGCUAUGGGAGAGUUUCACUGCAAAAAGAGCUGUCAUUGCAUUUAUUUUUCUGCUUGUCUGAGUGAGAAAACAAGGCUCAAUCACACAUUGUAAGAGAAGAAAAACAAGGAGAGGACAUGGCAGUGAAACCAUCGAGCUAGCACUUGUUAGUAGCAGUUUGAAAGGAAGGGAAAUCAAAGUUCCAGUGAGAAGUCAGUGACCUGGCAAAGCACAGCCACGAAGCAGCAGCAGAGGACAGCCCACCAGGAGCCCUGUGCUGCCCACUGGGGAGGGUGCUGUGCAGUGCCACUUGGGCUGAGGACAGAGCGCACAGCAGCCCCAGCGCUACCCAUAGCAGCAGCAGAGCUGUGUACCCAUGGGCAUGUGUGUGUUUGUGCCCAAGUCCCCACGCCUGAUAGGAGAUGGAUAAAUAGAAGUGACCCAGAGGUCUGGGGUUACAUCUGCUUAGACUCAAUGACUCGAAAUCCAUUUCAGGCUCCUUGGAGGCCCUGUUCAGCGCUGUCAUGCUGGAGCCAGGAUAUUAAGGGCACCUGUCAGGGCUAUUUCAGGAACCAGAGGCCUCCCUCCCCUGCAUGCUGAGCUCACGGCGUAUCAGAUGAGGUCUGCUGGAGCAGUACACAUGGAAAGUCUGGUUUUCCAGUGAGAAGUCUGGAUGAGAAAGUGACUUUCUGAGCCCCCUUGUCACUGACGGCUCCAGCUCUGACCAUGACACCAGGAUACAGAUGGGGGCAACCAGGCUUGCUCUUCAUUGAGGGCUAUUUCUACAAAUACCUCAUGUUUUCUCUUUCUAACCGCUGCCACAGGCUUCAGUUCCCCCUCAGCAUGACCUGAGCUGACCUCAGGCACAUCCGCAUGGCCAUUUGGGCUCCAGCACAGCCUGUCCCUGCAGGGCCGUGGUAAUAGAGCCUGCAGCCAGAGCACACUUGGCUUGAUCCAGAACAGCCUGGGGGGGAAGAUAAAUAAGGGAGGGACAGAGUGUUUUAAUACAGGAGACAAAAUAAACAUGUUAAGUGCUCUAUAUGCAAAAGCAGGAGGAAUCCCACCGCCUCAGGAAUGUUCCUGCUGUGACUUGCAUGUGGAACAAACCCUCUUCAAAGGCUUCAUCACUGAAUGUUUCCCUCUGCAAACCCUGCUUUCCAGGGCAGGGAAAGUCUCUGUCACACAGCCAGCUCCUCGUUGAGGAGCUUUGGACGUAAGUGCUCCUCCUGGCCGUCACAGAACCAAAGGCACUUCAGCCUCAUCCUGUUCUUUCUUUUCUCAGAGGGGAUACGGGAAAAACACUCAGCAGAGCUUUAUAUGUCAUGGAGAGAUGUUCAAAAUCACAAGUAGUUGCAGAUAGAGAGCUUCAGACUGUGGUCAUGCAUGCAGCCAUGACUCAGUUGCUGACUGACAGAGCCCUGCCUUCCAGCAGGCUCAGCCCCACACCUAGCACGGUGUGCUCAGCCUGGUUCCCAGCUCUCCUUACAGACACCUGCAGAUGAGCAGGCAGCCAGAACACCCAGCAGCUGCUCCUGGCUCCUGAUGAGGAGCCCAUUGCUGAAGGGAGACCCCAUACUGCUCACCAGUUCAGAUCCAGGGCAAGAAAAACUCAUGCUCUUCACUGGUGCCAGCACAGAAUUCAGUUGUUUGGGAUGUACACGAAACAAAAGCAAGCCCUGCCUUCUUAGAGCAGCUUCUCUCUACACCUCCAGCAGUUCUGCCCUAAAGCCUUAUCCUCUGAGCUGGAUUACACAGUACACCCCCUUGAAAGAAACCUCCUCUUAGCACCUUCACUAACGUGCUGACCCACUCAUUAAAAACCCCAGCUGUCCAAUUUCCUCCACGCUAUACCCACCAACCCAGAGCUAUGGGGCAGGCCCAGCUGCAGAGAAUUUAAAGAUCCAUCUGUGCUGAGUGGCUGCAGGGCUGGUGGGAAGGCAUAAAGGUGUAAAGGGCUCUGGCAGAGCCUGUGCUUGCUUCUGACGUUGCUUAGCUAGAAUGGUCGGAGCUGUAAGAGAUGGAAGUGCUGCUUCAAGGCUGAGUUCCUCCUGGUGCUUCUGCUUAGAGAGCUCUGCUCUGUCUGCUGUGGAGGAGCCCUCAGUGAGUCCCCAUUGCGGGGACUGAUCACCUGUUUUGAUGUGAUUUGCUUAAUGGGAGCUGAACGAUCCAGAGCUCUGCUCCUGGUGCAGUAAAUGAUUCCCCUGCUUACAAAUCCUGUUGUAUCAGCAGGAGUGCUUUGUAUUGCUAAAAGCUGCAGCACUCACUAACACAGAGGUGUAUCUGCAGCUGAAACUCAUCCCUGUACUUGAGUGGGGAAAUGAUACUUUUCAACACUUUACAUCCAGAGCUGGAAGGGAAUUUCCCACUCAUCGCUCCUAUUGUUUCUCCUCACUUCAUCUUUAAAACUGUGGAGAGGGCAAAGGAAUGGAGGAGACGUCUGUACAGGUGAAGCUGGAGCUUCGUUCACGUGCAGGGCUUCGGGUGUCCCCUCCACCUGUGUGCACCAGCUCCGUGUCUCCACCUGCGUUGUGCACAGCAGGGCCGGGUCAGCAUGGGAUGGAGCACACGGGCAGGCAUGAAGGGCACUUCUGUCAUCAGACAGACAUCUGCCUGCAGCAGGACGGAGCCACGGACUCCUCCAGCAGGUGCUGCCCUGGAGAGAUUAACCCCCAAAAGGGGAUGGAAAAACAGCCCUGACGUGAACCUGCAUUCCCUGCUAGCAAGCCUGCAGAUAAAUUCGGGUGCAGUGCAGGCCCCGUGAGUCAGGUUCCUUUUUCUGCUGUCUGAUAAUACCACCCUGAGAAGGGUUAAGUGAGGUUGCAGGGGAGGUUUCCAGGAAAAAGCGUUGGUCUGAGGACUACUGGAGGGCCUGGUUAUGCCUCGGCACUGUAGGCGUGGAGUGAUGCUGGGUUUACACCUGUUGAAAUGGGGGUGAGAUGCUUUUUGGAUGUGACAGCCCACCCCAACCAGCAGCCAGCUCUCCAAAGGGACACCUUUCUGCAGCUGGGCCGAAGUCCCCACACCAGAGCUUUGCUGCUCCGGGAGAAAAGCCAUGCAGAAAACCCUGGGAAAAGCUGUGGCUGAUGAAUUGCUGCUGUGCAAAGUAAUCCCUUCAGCCUGGCAGAAUCUCUGUUUACCUCUUAGUGCCUAACACUACUGUUUGCAGGAGAUGGCCUUGCUGUGGCAGGGUCGUGCUCUCACCAGGUUAAAUUACUCAGCUAUUGACUGCGUUCAUUAGUCAGAUACUGACUCACCGUGAUGAAGAAAAUGAGGAGUGCUACAGCAUUACUUUAUUACUCAGUCUGCUGAAAGAAAACGGCUCCCCUUUUACCUCUCACCAAAAAGUUGAGUAUUCAAAAGAUCAGAAGUACAUCCCAGCAUGAAUCAGCCAGGAGGUGUGUAUGUAAGAUCAAAUGGAUCAUCAAUGCAAUUAGCAGCCUGGGUUCCCGCAGGGGUAGGUGUUUUACUUACAUACUCUGUUCAGUGUUACAUCUCCAUACCCCAUCCC
ensembl:lncRNA